UGUAUGGUGGCAGCCGCGGUCUGU
rnacentral:siRNA from 1 species